AUGUUCACUGUUAUAUUCAUGUGUCUGUGGCUUUCACUGGGUGACUCCAUGGCAGAUCCAACAGAGCCACUUUUUACUCAUAAAGUUGUAGAUGAAGGUGAUGAUGUUACUCUGUCCUGCAGCUACAAAGACUUCAGUGGUAACAUAUAUAAUGUGCAGUGGUACAGGCAAUAUAUGAACUCUAAACCUGAGUAUCUUCUUUAUGUUACUCCAAGUGGAGAUCUAAGUUCCCCCAUCCCCCAUGGAAUGUCUGCUAAAGUUCAUGAUGAUAAACAAGUGGAUCUGAUCAUCUCCUCUGCUGCUGUAUCAGACUCUGCUCUAUACUACUGUGCUCUGGCGCCCACAGUGACAGGAAAUCCAGCUGCACUGUACAAAAACUUUUUUGUGGGGGUGAAGGAACAACCUUCUGCUGUUGUCGACCCAAAAGUUCACCUGGCAGCGGUGGGAUUCGGACCCACGCCCCCGAAGAGACUGGAGCCUUAA